rnacentral:rRNA from 14 species
GAGGCGAUGAAGGACGUGAUAAGCUGCGAUAAGCUACGAUUAGGUGCAAAUAACCCGUGAGUCGUAGAUUUCCGAAUGGGGCAACCCAACUGAUAGAAGAUCAGUUAUCCUGUAAAGGAAGCAAACCCGGAGAACUGAAACAUCUAAGUACCCGGAGGAAGAGAAAACAAUAGUGAUUCCCUUAGUAGCGGCGAGCGAAGCGGGAAAAGCCCAAACCAGAGAUGUUACGGCAUUUCUGGGGUUGUAGGACUGUAAUGUGGACUAUAAAAUGAUAGUAGAAUAUAACUGGAAAGUUAAGCCAAAGAAGGUGAUAGCCCUGUAGACGAAAUCGUUUUAUUACCUAACAGUAUCCUGAGUAGCACGAAACACGUGAAAUUUUGUGUGAAUCUGCCGGAACCAUCCGGUAAGGCUAAAUACUACUGAGAGACCGAUAGUGAACCAGUACCGUG